ensembl:lncRNA
UUUUCUCUUAAAUGGGGGAUUUUCAAGGAGAAAAUGGGUGAUUUUUGCGUAAAUGAGGGAUUCUCGAAGGGAAAAUGGGUGAUUUUGGGGUUAAAUGGGGGAUUUUCAAAGAGAAAAUGCAUGAUUUUCUAGUUAAAUGGAUAAUGUUCAAAGAGAAAAUGGUUGAUUUUUGCGUAAAUUGGGGAUUCUCGAAGGGAAAACGGCUGAUUUUGGGGUUAGAUGGGGGAUUUUCUAAGAGAAAAUGCGUGAUUUUUGGGUUAAAUGGGAAUUUUUUUCAGAGAAAAUGAGUGAAAUUCGCUUACAUCGGGUUUUUUCGAAGAGAAAAUGCAUGAUUUUGGGGUUAAAAGGGGGAUUUUUGAAGAGAAAAUGGGUGAUUUCUGCGUAAAUGACGGAUUCUCGAAGGUAAAAUGGUUGAUUUUUGCAUAAAUGGGGGAUUUUCGAAAAGAAAACGGGUGAUUUUUGUGGUAAAUGGGGGAUUUUCAAAGAAACAAUGGAUUAUUUUCGCUAAAAUGAAGGAUUUUCAAAGAGUAAAUGAAUGAUUUUCGCUUAAAUGGGGGAUUUUCAAGGAGAAAAUGGGUGAUUUUUGCGUAAAUGAGGGAUUCUCGAAGGGAAAAUGGGUGAUUUUGGGGUUAAAUGGGGGAUUUUCAAAGAGAAAAUGCAUGAUUUUCUAGUUAAAUGGAUAAUUUUCAAAGAGAAAAUGGUUGAUUUUUGGGUUAAAUGGGGAAUUUUUUAAAGGAAAAUGGGUGAUUUUCGGCUUAAAUGGGAUUUUUCGAGGAGAUAACGCAUGAUUUUUGGGAUAAAUGGGGGAUUUUUGAAGAGAAAAUGGGUGAUUUCUGCGUAAAUGACGGAUUUUCGAAGAGAAAAUGGGUGAUUUUUGUGGUAAAUGGGGGAUUUUCAAAGAAACAAUGAAUUAUUUUCGCUAAAAUGAAGGAUUUUCAAAGAGUAAAUGAAUGAUUUUCGCUUAAAUGGGGGAUUUUCAAAGAGAAAAUGGGUGAUUUUUUGCGUAAAUGAGGGAUUCUCGAAGGGAAAAUGGGUGAUUUUGGGGUUAAAUGGGGGAUUUUCAAAGAGAAAAUGCAUGAUUUUCUAGUUAAAUGGAUAAUUUUCAAAGAGAAAAUGGUUGAUUUUUGCAUAAAUGGGGGAUUUUUGAAAAGAAAACGGGUGAUUUUUGUGGUAAAUGGGGGAUUUUCAAAGAAAAAUGGAUUAUUUUCGCUAAAAUGAAGGAUUUUCAAAGAGUAAAUGAAUGAUUUUCGCUUAAAUGGGGGAUUUUCAAAGAGAAAAUGGUUGAUUUUUGCGUAAAUGAGGGAUUCUCGAAGGGAAAACGGCUGAUUUUGGGGUUAGAUGGGGGAUUUUCAAAGAGAAAAUGCGUGAUUUUUGGGUUAAAUGGGAAUUUUUUUUAAGAGAAAAUGAGUGAAAUUCGCUUACAUCGGGUUUUUUCGAAGAGAAAAUGCAUGAUUUUGGGGUUAAAAGGGGGAUUUUUGAAGAGAAAAUGGGUGAUUUCUGCGUAAAUGACGGAUUCUCGAAGGGAAAAUGGGUGAUUUUUGGGUUAAAUGGGGGAUUUUCAAAGAGAAACUGCAUGAUUUUCUAGCUAACUGGAUAUUUUUCAAUGAGAAAAUGGGUGAUUUUUGCGUAAAUGAGGGAUUUUGAAAAGAAAACAGGUUAUUUUUGUGUUAAGUGGGGGAUUUUUGAAGAGAAAAUGCAUGAUUUUCUAGUUAAAUGAAUAAUUUUCAAAGAGAAAAUGGGUGAUUUUCAGGUUAAAUGGGGGACUUUCAAGGAGAAAAUGGGUGAUUUUCGCUUAAAUCAGGGAUUUUUGAAGAGAAAACAGGUGAUUUCUGCGUAAAUGAGGGAUUUUCGAAAAGAUAACGGGUGAUUUUCAGGUUAAAUGGGGGAUUUUCAAAGAGAAAAUGAGUGAUUUUCAUGUCAAUGAGGGAUUUUCAAAGAGAAAAAGGGAGAUUUAACUGUUAAAUGGAGAAUUUUCAAAAUGAAAUUGGGUGUUUUUUGGGAUAUAUGGGGGAUUUUUGAAUGGAAUGAAGUUGAUUUUCGCGUAAAUGAGGCAUUUUCUCCAGGAAAAUGCACGAUUUUCACUCCAAUGGGGGAUUUUAGAUGAGAAAAUGGGUUAUUUUGGGGUUAAAUGGUGGAGUUUUGAAGAGAAAAUUGGUGAUUUUCUCUUAAAUGAGGGAUUCUCGAAGACAAAACGGGUAUUUGGGGGGAUAAAUAGGGGAUUUUCAACGAGAAAAUGGGUGAUAUUUGCGUAAAUGGGGGAUUUUCAAAGGGAAAAAGCAAGAUUUUCUAGUUAAAUGGGGGAUUUUCGAAAAGAAAAUGGGUGAUUUUCGGGAUACCUGGGGGAGUUUUGAAAAUAAAAUGCCUGAUUUCCUAGUUAUAUGGGGGAUUUUCAAGGCGAAUUUUUGUUUAAAUGGGGGAUUCUCAAAGAGAAAAUGGGUGAUUUUUGUUUAAAUGGGGGAUGUUCGAAGAGAAAAAUGGGUGAUGUUUGGGUUAAAUGGGGGGAUUCUCGAAGGGAAAAUGGGGGAUUUUCGGGAUAAAUAGGGGAUCCUCGUAGAGAAAAUGGCGGAUUUUCAGGAUAAAUGGGUGAUCCUUGAUGAGAAAAAUGGGGUGACUUUUUGGAUAAACGGGGGAAUUUCAAAGAAAAAAAUGCAUGUUUUUUGGGUUAAGUGGGGGAUUUCUGAAGAGAAAAUGGGUGAUUUUGGAGUUACGUGGGGGAUCUUCAUAAAGAAAAUGGGUGAUUUUGGGGAUCAAUGUGGGAUUUUCCAAGAGAAAAUGGGGGAUUCUUGAAUAGAAAAACGGGUGAUUUUCUAGUUAAAUGGGGGAUUCUCCAAGUGAAAAUGUGUGAUUUUUUGCUUAAAUGGGGGAUUUUCGAAGCAAAAAUGGGGAUUUUCGGGUUAAAAGCAGGAAUUUCAAAAAGAAUAUGGGUCAUUUUCUCUUAAAUGGGGGAUUUUCGAAGAGAAAAUACGUGAUUUUUGCUUAUAUGAGAGAUUCUCGAAGAGAAAAUGGGUGAUUUUCGUGUAAAUGAGGGAUUCUCUAAGAGAAAGGGGGUGAUUUUCAGGUUAAAAGCUGGAAUUUCAAUAAGAAAAUGGGUGAUUUUUGCUUAUGAGGGAUUUUCAAAGAGAAAAUGGGGGAUUUUCGCUUAAAUGGGGGAUUCUCGAAGAAAGAAUGGGGGAUUCUUGAAUAGAAAAAUGAUGAUUUUCUAGUUAAAUAGGGCAUUUUUUGAAGAAAACCAGUGUGAUUUUUGGGUUUAAUGGGGGAUUCUCCAAGUGAAAAUGCGUGAUUUUUCGCUUACAUGGGGACUGUCAAAAAGACAAUGGGCUAUUUUAGGGUAAAAUGGGGGAUUUUUGAAGAGGAAAUGGGUGAUUUUUGGUAAAAUGGAGGAUUUCCGAAGAUAAAAAGCAUGAUUUCCUUGUUCAAUGGGGGAUUUCAGAAGAAAAUGUGUGAUAUUCAGAGAAAUGUGGGAUUUUACAAGAGAAAAAUGGUGUUUUUCAGGAUAAAUGGGUGUUUUCUUAGAGAAAAUGGGUGAUUAUUGGGUUAUAUGGGGGGUUUUUGAAGAGAAAAUAGGUGAUUUGGGGUGAAAUGGGGUUUUUCAAAGAAGAAAUGGGUGAUUUUCAGAUAAAAUCAGUGAUUUGUGAAGAGAAAAUGGGUUAUUUUCUAGUUACAUAGGAUAUUUUUGAAAAGAAAAUGGGUGGUUUUUGGGUUAAAU